rnacentral:rRNA from 1 species
ACACGACUACAUUAAGAUACCCGCGUAGUCCUAGCCGUAAACGAUACUCGCUAGGUGUCGGCCACGGUGCGACCGUUGUCGGUGCCGUAGGGAAGCCGUGAAGCGAGCCACCUGGGAAGUACGGCCGCAAGGCUGAAACUUAAAGGAAUUGGCGGGGAGCACAACAACGGGUGGAGCUUGCGGUUUAAUUGGAUUCAACGCCGGAAAUCUUACCGGGACCGACAGCAACAUGAAGGCCAAGCUGAAGACUUUGCCGGAUUAGCUG